rnacentral:sRNA from 1 species
UGCCCAUGAGACCAACGACGUUAUAAUAAAUAUUCAUUAGUUUUUUAUUUGCUCUUUCUUCGCUCUGGAGCUUGGCCCUUGACCCUUUAUAUAUAAUAUCCCGUCUCUUCUGAGUUGAUCUGAUUUUGAUUUUACUUUUUCUGAAAUCGAAGAAGCUAGAAAAAACUAAAAAAAAAACUGGGAUGAAGGAAUGGUAUUAGACUCAGGUCGGCUGGCCGAAAGGAAGUGAAUAGAAAAGAGUAAGGUGGGCAAGAUAACAGAAAAGGAGGGAGGGGGGGAGGGAGAAAGAAAACAAAAAAAAAAAAAAAAGAAGCAAAACGGAAUCGCUUCAAAAUGGAUCAGGAAAGCCGUUAGUAACCGCACGUAUGUACGUAUGUAUGUAUCUAUGUAGUCAAUGUACCGUACAAAAAGAAACAGAGAAAGGAAAUUGUAUGGCAAAAUGAACACCCGAACACAAACCCGAUUGAGUCUGGAGUCUAAAAUGAAAAUAGAGAAAGACCAAAAAUAUAAACACGAUCAGAG